rfam:Cajanus cajan Scaffold132494_1, whole genome shotgun sequence.
GGUAAUAGUAAGCGACCCAGAGAAGUAAGCGACGAAAUGCUUUGGGGAGUUAAAAAUAAGCAUAGGUCCAGGAAUUCCCGAUAUAGAUUAACCUUUCGAACUACUGUUGAAUCCAUGGGUAGGCAAGAGACAACCUGGUGAACUGAAACAUCUUAAUAACCAGAGGAAAAGAAAGCAACAGAGAUUCUCGUAGUAACGACGAGAGAAAUGAGAACAGCCUAAACUAUGAACCGCUAUCUUAAAAAUUUACUCAA